GUGCCAGCAGCGGCGGUAAUACGUAGGUGGCAAGCGUUGUCCGGAAUUAUUGGGCGUAAAGGGAGCGCAGGCGGGAAGGUAAGUCGGUCUUAAAAGUGCGGGGCUCAACCCCGUGAUGGGAUCGAAACUAUCUUUCUUGAGUGCAGGAGAGGAAAGUGGAAUUCCUAGUGUAGCGGUGAAAUGCGUAGAUAUUAGGAGGAACACCAGUGGCGAAGGCGACUUUCUGGACUGUAACUGACGCUGAGGCUCGAAAGCCAGGGAGCGAACGGAUUAGAUACCCCGGUAGUCCUGGCCGUAAACGAUGAAUACUGGUGUGGGAGGUAUCCGACCCCUUCCGUGCCGGAGUUAACGCAAAUAAGUAUUCCGCCUGGGAGUACCGGUCGCAAGACUGAAACUC
rnacentral:rRNA from 1 species